rnacentral:lncRNA from 1 species
GAUCCCCAAGUGCGUGUGUGCUCCCGCCACCCAUGCGGGUUCCUUCAAGUGCCGCCUCCACAGGACGAACUCCCACGGCCACUCGCCGCCCUCCCCAACCUCGAUCCCUCCUCCUCCGGCACCCGUGAACUCAUCCCGCACCCCUACCGUGGAAGCUCAGUGACCACAAAGAGGAUCGGCGAUUCCCGAUGGCUUUGGAGAGAUUCUUAAUUUGGUAUCUUUGUUGUCUCAUCCACCCAACCCUAUUCUUCCGCUGCUUCCCCCUUUUUAUGUAUGGAGGUGAGAGAGAGAGAGAGAGAGAGAGUUCUGUGUGUUCUUG